CUGGUAGAAGAGUUUCUAAAGAAAGUUGAAGCCGGUUUAAAAAGGGAACUUUAUUACUGGCAUGCCUACUACGAAAAGAGACUCCCAGCAGGAACAAGUGCUUUGUUGAAAUUAGAAGAGUUCGUGGCCAAGUUUAUAGGCAUACAUAGGAAGAGUUCUGCCAAUGGUCAGUGUGUGUAACAUUGAGCUAACUAUGCCUUUGUUCAAUUAAUUUUGUUGC